UGAGGAAUUUUGCGCAAUAGGGGAAACCCUGACGCAGCAACGCCGCGUGAGUGAAGAAGGCCCUCGGGUCGUAAAGCUCUGUCAAGCGGGAAAAAAGCUUACUGGUAAAUAGCCAGCAAGACUGAUGGUACCAUUGAAGGAAGCACCGGCUAACUCCGUGCCAGCAGCCGCGGUAAUACGGAGGGUGCAAGCGUUGUUCGGAAUUACUGGGCGUAAAGGGCGUGUAGGCGGUGUGGUAAGUCAGAUGUGAAAGCCCUGGGCUUAACCCAGGAAGUGCAUUUGAAACUGCCAUGCUUGAGUUUGGGAGAGGAGAGUGGAAUUCCCAGUGUAGAGGUGAAAUUCGUAGAUAUUGGGAGGAACACCCGUGGCGAAGGCGACUCUCUGGACCAAUACUGACGCUGAGGCGCGAAAGCGUGGGGAGCAAACAGGAUUAGAUACCCUGGUAGUCCACGCUGUAAACGAUGAGCACUAGGUGUAGCGGGUAUUGACCCCUGCUGUGCCGUAGCUAACGCAUUAAGUGCUCCGCCUGGGGAGUACGGCCGCAAGGCUA
rnacentral:rRNA from 1 species